GGAGGAGAACAAACCACCAUUUAUAAGAGUGAAAAAACCUUCCCUUAGCAGACUCGUUUUAAAGUCUUGAGGGGAAGCCCGAAAGGGAAAGCUAAAAUAAGACAAU